rnacentral:tRNA from 1 species
GCUUUUAAAGGAAAAUAGUUUAUCCGUUGGUCUUAGGAACCAAAAUUCUUGGCGCAAAUCCUAGUGAAAGCU